GACGAACGCUGGCGGCGUGCUUAACACAUGCAAGUCGAACGAUGAAGCCAGCUUGCUGGUGGAUUAGUGGCGAACGGGUGAGUAACACGUGAGUAACCUGCCCUUAACUCUGGGAUAAGCCUGGGAAACUGGGUCUAAUACCGGAUAUGACUCCUCAUCGCAUGGUGGGGGUGGAAAGCUUUUGGGGUUUUGGAUGGACUCGCGGCCUAUAAGCUUGUUGGUGAGGUAAUGGCUCACCAAGGCGACGAAGGGUAGCCGGCCUGAAAGGGUGACCGGCCAAACUGGGACUGAGACACGGCCCAGACUCCUACGGGAGGCAGCAGUGGGGAAUAUUGCACAAUGGGCGGAAGCCUGAUGCAGCGACGCCGCGUGAGGGAUGACGGCCUUCGGGUUGUAAACCUCUUUCAGUAGGGAAGAAGCGUAAGUGACGGUACCUGCAGAAGAAGCGCCGGCUAACUACGUGCCAGCCGCCGCGGUAAAAC
rnacentral:rRNA from 1 species